rnacentral:lncRNA from 1 species
AUGCAUUUGAAGGUCCUUUUCGCGUUGGUGAUUUUGUUUGCCGUUAGGUUCCGGGUGGCGGCGACCUCCUCGAGCGACGAGCGGACGAGAGAGCGGCAGAACGGAUUCAAAGGGAGGAACUACCCUCUGGGGGCGCCCAAUUCCAACUCGCGGAAGCUCCAACGCGAGGAGUCGACCAGCGGAGAGAGCGAGGAGAACGAGAAAGACACCCGUGACCGGGCCCAACUCCCGGCCCCUGCUCACUCGCACAGGGGUCACCGACACCCCCUUGGGCCCGCCGGCGCUGGGGAGGUGUAGGAGGAGGCGGAGGGGGUGGCGCCCCCUUCUCCCAGUAUAGCUACGGAUACUCGAUCCCCGACCAUGAGUUCGACCACAACCAGAAUCAAGUAAGAACUCACAUUUUGUUGGAGGGAGAAGAGGAGACAUGUUUCGGAAAAGUGCCUCGGAAACAAAUGAAGUACAAAUGUGUACAAGUGUGAGUGCAAAAAAGUGCAAACUAGUACAAAGGUGUGAAUCACAGACGCGCCACCGCAAUGGAUAAUGUCUUAAGCCGUUCCUUUGAAUGAUAGGUAUUUCCACCAAUAUUGGACUUUAAAACUUGGCUUUUGAGCAGAUUCACACAUCUGUUCCUGAUCUAAGAACAGAAACCGUCAGGACACAAUUCUGUAACUAGCGCAACUGAUCCACACGGAAGAAAAUGGAUUGCUGUUUUUACCAUUUCGUAAUGAAAAAAGUGCGCGAGAUAUUUCAAUGUACAUUUUACAAUAAGCAAAAAUACUAAAUUCAACCACCCCGUGGUUAAAUUUGCUUUCAAAAAUUGUAAAAUGUACUUUUGAAACCCGUCGAACAUAUUUUUUAAUAAUUUAAUUGUUAAAUCUGCAAUCCAUUUUCUUCCGUGUGGAUCAGUUACGCUACAGUUACAGAAUUGUGUCCUGGUGGCCUCAGUUUAUAGAUCAGUAAAAUAUGAGAGGGGCUGUUCAAACGCCAAAUUUCUGCGUUCGAUAUUGUCGGAUAUAUCAAUCAUUCAAAGGCACGGCGCGAGACAUUAUCCACUACGCGUCUAUCACGUGUAUACGCAUUAUCACUACGCGGGGGCACGUCUGUGAUUGAUACACGCAUGUGUACUAGUUGCCAGACCUGAUACACAUAUGAAGCCGAAAUAGAAGAGGCGGCGGUGUGUGCUACCACGGAGGGCGAUGCCAUACGCCGAUUUUUUCGAUGAAUGAAACCUCUAUUCAUAUUAAAAGUGGAAAUUUUGUU